CUACGGGCGGCACCAGUGAGGAAUAUUGGUCAAUGGGCGCAAGCCUGAACCAGCCACUCCGCGUGUAGGAUGACUGCCCUAUUGGUUGUAAACUACUUUUAUACAGGAAGAAACCUCCUUACGUGUAGGGAGCUGACUGUACUGUAAGAAUAAGCAUCGGCUAACUCCGUGCCAGCAGCCGCGGUAAUACGGAGGAUGCAAGCGUUAUCCGGAUUUAUUAGGUCUAAAGGGUUCGUAGGCGGAUGAUUAAGUCAGUGGUGAAAUCCUACAGCUUAACUGUAGAACUGCCAUUGAUACUGGUUGUCUUGAGUAUAGUUGAGGUAGGCGGAAUGUGUAGUGUAGCGGUGAAAUGCUUAGAUAUUACACAGAACACCGAUUGCGAAGGCAGCUUACUAAGCUAUUACUGACGCUAAGGAACGAAAGCGUGGGGAGCGAACAGGAUUAGAUACCCGUGUAGUC
rnacentral:rRNA from 1 species